rnacentral:rRNA from 1 species
GUGAACGCUGGCGGUAGGCCUCACCCCUGCAAGUCGAACGGCAGCACAGUAAGAGCUUGCUCUUACGGGUGGCGAGUGGCGGACGGGUGAGGAAUACAUCGGAAUCUACUUUUUCGUGGGGGAUAACGUAGGGAAACUUACGCUAAUACCGCAUACGACCUACGGGUGAAAGCAGGGGAUCUUCGGACCUUGCGCGAUUGAAUGAGCCGAUGUCGGAUUAGCUAGUUGGCGGGGUAAAGGCCCACCAAGGCGACGAUCCGUAGCUGGUCUGAGAGGAUGAUCAGCCACACUGGAACUGAGACACGGUCCAGACUCCUACGGGAGGCAGCAGUGGGGAAUAUUGGACAAUGGGCGCAAGCCUGAUCCAGCCAUACCGCGUGGGUGAAGAAGGCCUUCGGGUUGUAAAGCCCUUUUGUUGGGAAAGAAAAGCAGCAGGUUAAUACCCCGCUGUUCUGACGGUACCCAAAGAAUAAGCACCGGCUAACUUCGU